AUUGAACGCUGGCGGCAGGCCUAAUACAUGCAAGUCGAGCGGUCACUUCGGUGGCAGCGGCGGACGGGUGAGUAACGCGUGGGAACGUGCCCUUUGGUUCGGAACAACACAGGGAAACUUGUGCUAAUACCGAAUGUGCCCUUCGGGGGAAAGAUUUAUCGCCAUUGGAGCGGCCCGCGUUGGAUUAGGUAGUUGGUGGGGUAAAGGCCCACCAAGCCUACGAUCCAUAGCUGGUCUGAGAGGAUGAUCAGCCACACUGGGACUGAGACACGGCCCAGACUCCUACGGGAGGCAGCAGUAGGGAAUCUUGCGCAAUGGGCGAAAGCCUGACGCAGCCAUGCCGCGUGAAUGAUGAAGGUCUUAGGAUUGUAAAAUUCUUUCACCGGGGAAGAUAAUGACGGUACCCGGAGAAGAAGCCCCGGCUAACUUCGUGCCAGCCGCCGCGGUAACAC
rnacentral:rRNA from 1 species